GAGUUUGAUCAUGGCUCAGAUUGAACGCUGGCGGCAUGCCUUACACAUGCAAGUCGAACGGCAGCACGGGAGCUUGCUCCUGGGUGGCGAGUGGCGAACGGGUGAGUAAUGCAUCGGAACGUAUCCUGGAGUGGGGGAUAACGUAGCGAAAGUUACGCUAAUACCGCAUAUUCUGUGAGCAGGAAAGCGGGGGACCUUCGGGCCUCGCGCUCUUGGAGCGGCCGAUGUCGGAUUAGCUAGUUGGUGAGGUAAAGGCUCACCAAGGCGACGAUCCGUAGCAGGUCUGAGAGGAUGAUCUGCCACACUGGAACUGAGACACGGUCCAGACUCCUACGGGAGGCAGCAGUGGGGAAUUUUGGACAAUGGGGGCAACCCUGAUCCAGCCAUGCCGCGUGAGUGAAGAAGGCCU
rnacentral:rRNA from 4 species